UUAGAGUUUGAUCCUGGCUCAGGAUGAACGCUGGCGGCGUGCCUAACACAUGCAAGUCGAACGGAGUUAUGAGAGCUUGCUUUUAUAACUUAGUGGCGGACGGGUGAGUAAUGCGUGAGCAACCUGCCUUUCAGAGGGGGACAACAGUUGGAAACGACUGCUAAUACCGCAUAACGUAUUCGGAUGGCAUCAUCUGGAUACCAAAGGAGCAAUCCGCUGAAAGAUGGGCUCACGUCUGAUUAGUUAGUUGGCAGGGUAACGGCCUACCAAGACUGCGAUCAGUAGCCGGACUGAGAGGUUGAACGGCCACAUUGGGACUGAGAUACGGCCCAGACUCCUACGGGAGGCAGCAGUGGGGAAUAUUGGGCAAUGGACGGGAGUCUGAACCAGCCAAGUCGCGUGCGGGAUGAAGGCCCUACGGGUCGUAAACCGCUUUAGCCGGGGAGUAACGUGGGGGACGCGUCCCUCAGUGAGAGUACCCGGAGAAUAAGCAUCGGCUAACUCCGUGCCAGCAGCCGCGGUAAUACGGAGGAUGCAAGCGUUAUCCGGAUUUAUUGGGUUUAAAGGGUGCGUAGGCUGUUGUUCAAGUCAGAGGUGAAAGCCCGGGGCUCAACUCCGGAACUGCCUUUGAUACUGGGCGGCUUGAAUCCUGUUGCCGUGGGAGGAAUGAGUAGUGUAGCGGUGAAAUGCGUAGAUAUUAGGAGGAACACCAGUGGCGAAGGCGGCUUACUGGACGAUAACUGACGUUGAGGCUCGAAAGCGUGGGGAGCAAACAGGAUUAGAUACCCUGGUAGUCCACGCGGUAAACGAUGAAUACUAGGUGUUGGGUGGCAAUAGCCAUUCGGUGCCGCAGCAAACGCAAUAAGUAUUCCACCUGGGGAGUACGUUCGCAAGAAUGAAACUCAAAGGAAUUGACGGGGACCCGCACAAGCGGUGGAGCAUGUGGUUUAAUUCGAUGAUACGCGAGGAACCUUACCCGGGCUCGAACGGCUGGUGAAGAGAUCCAGAGAUGGUGACGUCCUUCGGGACACCAGUCGAGGUGCUGCAUGGUUGUCGUCAGCUCGUGUCGUGAGAUGUUGGCUCAAGUGCCAUAACGAGCGCAACCCUUGCUGCCAGUUACCAGCGCAUAAUGGCGGGGACUCUGGCGGGACUGCCACCGUAAGGUGUGAGGAAGGCGGGGAUGACGUCAAAUCAGCACGGCCCUUACGUCCGGGGCGACACACGUGUUACAAUGACAGCUACAGAGGGAAGCUACCUGGCGACAGGAUGCAGAUCUCGAAAAGCUGCCUCAGUUCGGACUGGAGUCUGCAACCCGACUCCACGAAGCUGGAUUCGCUAGUAAUCGCGCAUCAGCCAUGGCGCGGUGAAUACGUUCCCGGGCCUUGCACACACCGCCCGUCAAG
rnacentral:rRNA from 1 species